GCUGGCGGCAGGUCUAACACAUGCGGAGUAAGCGCGUAGCAAUACGAGCGGCAGACGGGUGAGUAACUCGUCGGAACGUACCCUUUACUACGGAAUAACGCAGGGAAACUUGUGCUAAUACCGUAUGUGCCCUUUGGGGGAAAGAUUUAUCGGUAAGGGAUCGGCCCGCGUUGGAUUAGCUAGUUGGUGGGGUAAAGGCCUACCAAGGCGACGAUCCAUAGCUGGUCUGAGAGGAUGAUCAGCCACAUUGGGACUGAGACACGGCCCAAACUCCUACGGGAGGCAGCAGUGGG
rnacentral:rRNA from 1 species